UCCUUACUAUGCGGUGCGAGGACCCAACAACAUUCCAGACGUUAAGGCCACGCCCCGGGCCACUCCCCCCUCGUCGGGCUGCGGCCUCCCAGUCUCCUCGGCCACACCCCCCUUCCCAACUACUUAAAAGGACACUCCAAAGCUCACGUUUCCUUGCUCUGUAUCGGGGUGUUCUUGUCUGGGUAUCUCUACCCGCUUACGGUGGAAUGGUUGCGCCCUUCGGGUAGCCAAGCAAGCCUCCAAGCAUAAGUCAGGUCGGACCAGGAUGAGAGAGAGGUUUCGGGCAGUUGUUUUACUUCCUGCUUGGCGCACGAAUUGUGGCCCCCUCGUUUCACGCUGCUUGCAGGAUCCUAGUUUCCCAACCAGGGAUCGAACCUGGGUCCAGAGCAGUGAAAGUGUCAAGUCCUAACCACUGGACUGCCAGGGCCCGCAUCCAAAUCCAUCCCCAGUUCUCCUGGAAGAUGCAAAUCUGAUCCUGGCUAUAUGAAAUGAUUCAGCAGUUCCCCAGGACUUUCAGAACAAACUCAGAUGCCUGGCUCUGGCUCCUGGUGGCUCACCCGCCCCAUUUCUCACACACC
ensembl:lncRNA